rnacentral:tRNA from 1 species
CCGACCUUAGCUCAGUUGGUAGAGCGGAGGACUGUAGUUGAUGCAGAUAAUCCUUAGGUCACUGGUUCGAAUCCGGUAGGUCGGA